UACGAAGGGGGCUAGCGUUGCUCGGAAUCACUGGGCGUAAAGGGCGCGUAGGCGGCCAUUCAAGUCAGAGGUGAAAGCCCAAGGCUCAACCUUGGAACUGCCUUUGAUACUGUUUGGCUUGAGACCGGUAGAGGUAAGUGGAACUGCGAGUGUAGAGGUGAAAAUUCGUAGAUAUUCGCAAGAACACCAGUGGCGAAGGCGGCUUACUGGACCGGUUCUGACGCUGAGGCGCGAAAGCGUGGGGAGCAAACAGGG
rnacentral:rRNA from 1 species